GCAAACUUGGUCAUUUAGAGGAAGUAAAAGUCGUAACAAGGUCUCCGUAGGUGAACCUGCGGAGGGAUCAUUAGUGAACCGGGCCCCGAGAGGGGCCUCCGACCCCCAAACCUGUGGAGGCGAGAUGAUGCUUUGGCGCCUCGGCGCCGCAUUUAUGAACACGUCGGCCUGUGUCUGAGACUGAACUGAAGUCUAAAACUUUCAACAAAGGAUCUCUUGGCUCUUUAGAGGAAGUAAAAGUCGUAACAAGGUCUCCGUAGGUGAACCUGCGGAGGGAUCAUUAGUGAACCGGGCCCCGAGAGGGGCCUCCGACCCCCAAACCUGUGGAGGCGAGAUGAUGCUUUGGCGCCUCGGCGCCGCAUUUAUGAACACGUCGGCCUGUGUCUGAGACUGAACUGAAGUCUAAAACUUUCAACAAAGGAUCUCUUGGCUCUUGCAUCGAUGAAGAACGCAGC
rnacentral:misc_RNA from 1 species